UUUCCGUAGGUGAACCUGCGGAAGGAUCAUUAUUGUAUAACCGAGGUGCGAGGGCUGUCGCUGACCCGAAAGGUCGUGCACGCCCGAGUGCCCUGACACACAUCCAUCUCACCCCUAUGUGCACCACCGCGUGGGUCCCCCUUUGGCUUGUUCGGAGGGGGGCUUACGUUUUCACACAAACUUUGUAUGCAGUGUAGAAUGUAUUUUUUGUUUUUGCGAUCACGCAAUCAAUACAACUUUCAACAACGGAUCUCUUGGCUCUC
rnacentral:misc_RNA from 1 species